AAAAGGGGCUUUUGUCGUGCAUGGCACAUGUGGAGCAAUGCGGUUAUCUUUGGUCAUUUUUCAUGCAAAAUCUACAUCAAGAUUUUGGAAGCACACUUUUUGUUUUCUGGGCAGCUGGUGAUCCUGGUUUCCUU